UUGAAAAAAUAAAAGCGUAACAAGGUUUCCGUAGGUGAACCUGCGGAAGGAUCAUUAAAGAAAUUUAAUAAUUUUGAAAAUGGAUUUUUUUUUUUGUUUUGGCAAGAGCAUGAGAGCUUUUACUGGGCAAGAAGACAAGAGAUGGAGAGUCCAGCCGGGCCUGCGCUUAAGUGCGCGGUCUUGCUAGGCUUGUAAGUUUCUUUCUUGCUAUUCCAAACGGUGAGAGAUUUCUGUGCUUUUGUUAUAGGACAAUUAAAACCGUUUCAAUACAACACACUGUGGAGUUUUCAUAUCUUUGCAACUUUUUCUUUGGGCAUUCGAGCAAUCGGGGCCCAGAGGUAACAAACACAAACAAUUUUAUUUAUUCAUUAAAUUUUUGUCAAAAACAAGAAUUUUCGUAACUGGAAAUUUUAAAAUAUUAAAAACUUUCAACAACGGAUCUCUUGGUUCUCGCAUCGAUGAAGAACGCAGCGAAAUGCGAUACGUAAUGUGAAUUGCAGAAUUCCGUGAAUCAUCGAAUCUUUGAACGCACAUUGCGCCCCUUGGUAUUCCAGGGGGCAUGCCUGUUUGAGCGUCAUUUCCUUCUCAAACAUUCUGUUUGGUAGUGAGUGAUACUCUUUGGAGUUAACUUGAAAUUGCUGGCCUUUUUCAUUGGAUGUUUUUCUUUUUCCAAAGAGAGGUUUCUCUGCGUGCUUGAGGUAUAAUGCAAGUACGGUCGUUUUAGGUUUUACCAACUGCGGCUAAUCUUUUUUAUACUGAGCGUAUUGGAACGUUAUCGAUAAGAAGAGAGCGUCUAGGCGAACAAUGUUCUUAAAGUUUGACCUCAAAUCAGGUAGGAGUACCCGCUGAACUUAAGCUAC
rnacentral:misc_RNA from 1 species